UACAGAGGGGGCAAGCGUUGUUCGGAAUUACUGGGCGUAAAGGGCGCGUAGGUGGCCUGUUAAGUCGAACGUGAAAUCCCCGGGCUCAACCCGGGAACUGCGUCCGAGACUGGCAGGCUUGAAUCCGGGAGAGGGAUGUGGAAUUCCAGGUGUAGCGGUGAAAUGCGUAGAUAUCUGGAGGAACACCGGUGGCGAAGGCGGCAUCCUGGACCGGUAUUGACGCUGAGGCGCGAAAGCCAGGGGAGCAAACGGG
rnacentral:rRNA from 1 species